rnacentral:rRNA from 1 species
AUGCAGUCGAGCGGAUGAAGGGAGCUUGCUCCUGGAUUCAGCGGCGGACGGGUGAGUAAUGCCUAGGAAUCUGCCUGGUAGUGGGGGAUAACGUUCCGAAAGGAACGCUAAUACCGCAUACGUCCUACGGGAGAAAGCAGGGGACCUUCGGGCCUUGCGCUAUCAGAUGAGCCUAGGUCGGAUUAGCUAGUCGGUGAGGUAAUGGCUCACCAAGGCGACGAUCCGUAACUGGUCUGAGAGGAUGAUCAGUCACACUGGAACUGAGACACGGUCCAGACUCCUACGGGAGGCAGCAGUGGGGAAUAUUGGACAAUGGGCGAAAGCCUGAUCCAGCCAUGCCGCGUGUGUGAAGAAGGUCUUCGGAUUGUAAAGCACUUUAAGUUGGGAGGAAGGGCUGUAGGCUAAUAUCCUGCGGUUUUGACGUUACCAACAGAAUAAGCACCGGCUAACUUCGUGCCAGCAGCCGCGGUAAUACGAAGGGUGCAAGCGUUAAUCGGAAUUACUGGGCGUAAAGCGCGCGUAGGUGGUUCGUUAAGUUGGAUGUGAAAGCCCCGGGCUCAACCUGGGAACUGCAUCCAAACUGGCGAGCUAGAGUACGGUAGAGGUAGUGGAAUUUCCUGGGUAGCGGUGAAUGGGUA